GACGAACGCUGGCGGCGUGCUUAACACAUGCAAGUCGAGCGGAGCGGCGAACGGGUGAGUAACGCGUGAGUAACUGCCCCCCUCUCUGGGAUAACAGUUGGAAACGGCUGCUAAUACCGGAUAGUGGGGGAUGACUCGCGGCCUAUCGGCUUGUUGGUGGGGUAGUGGCCUACCAAGGCGACGACGGGUAGCCGGCCUGAGAGGGCGACCGGCCACAUUGGGCUGAGAUAGGGACCAAUCUCCUACGGGAGGCAGCAGUGGGGAGUAUUGCACAAGUGGGGAAACCGUGAUGCAGCAACGCGCGGGCGGGAUGACGUCCUUCGGGUUGUAAACCGCUUUCAGCCAUGACGCGUUAGUGGCAGAAGAAGCACCGGCUAACUACGUGCCAGCAGCCGCGGUAAUUC
rnacentral:rRNA from 1 species